rnacentral:lncRNA from 1 species
UCCCUUCUCGUUGAGAUAUUUAACUUUGGCUUUGCUCUAGUUCUUUCUUUUUGAAGAGAGUGACUGGAGUGGUAAAGAUGGAAAUGCUGGAAACGAUACUGGCACUCACACUGCCAUCCGACCACCCUCGGCUCCCGAGUCCACGCCUGCCUGGGCCUGUGCUGUCAAACCCGUGUCGGUCGUAACCCUCUGUGACUCCCCUGCAUCAGCACCAUCCAACCACCAAGUUCACCAGGUUCACCAGACACAGCCUCCACAAUAGCCACACCCUCACCUGAGCUGUUCUCAGUGCUGGAACUUGACCAUCCUAGGGAUUCAGCCACUUGCAGAACAGGAUGGGACCGAGAUUUCAGCGAGCCCUCCUGGCGCCCGGUCCUCCCUGUGGGUACCAGCCCUCUUGGUAGAUGGUGUGGAGGGCCGGUGUCCUUGGCUGCCACGGAGGAAUUUGAUCACCGAAGCAGCCACCUGCUGUAGAUGGACCUGAGGUCAGAGGCGGGGGAUCAGAGGCUCAAGGUGCUGAGAAGCCACCGGGAAAGCAGCCAGCACAAAGGGCCCAGGAAGCCAGCCCCCGAGAGCUGAGCGUGGGGGUCUUUGCGUGUCU